UGUCAUUCUUUGCUACUGUCAUUCUGGGGCUGAGGCUCAAGGAAUAGCCCCCACCUCGGUCCAUGCAGGUCUCAUGGAAGAUAGAAGAGAAGAUCUGGAAGAAAAUGGCUGGAAAAAACCAGACCUCAAAGUGCAUUUCUCUUUCAGUUUUGGCAACCAAAGGAGCUGUUCCUGAUAAUGGCAACAAAGGCUUGUAUGAAUGUUGGCUCCUUAACCCUUCAGGAAGGGAAAGUGGGAAGGAAGAGAGAGAAGCCGGAAAAAUGGUGAGCAUUUCUCAUUCAGUUUAUUUGGAUGUUAGCGUGGUCUACACUGGUGCCCUCUAGACCUCUAGGUUUCAAGACAUGCUUCUCCUCUGGGAGAUCAGUCAUUUGGAAUCUUCUUGAGCCGUGCAAGUGUGUAUUUGUUCCAGUUGGCCACAUGCACAUACCUUCUCAGAGCCUAGAUAUCUGAUGGUCCUUUUAAUUUUCUUUUCUUUUUUUUUUUUUUCUCAGCUGAGGUCUUUUGCUUCUCAAGGCUCUCCCUUAUGGAGAAAAUAAGACAAUUCUCCACGUUUUUCACAUAUAUGUCCCUCAUCAAGUGCAUCAGAAAGACCAAAGAAUCCUUUGCACCAUCACACUCUAGGUUAACAGGAAACUCUUUCCUUCUGCCAUCAGAACAACUAACCAAUCAUAACUUUUCACCCUUUAGAUUUCUGAGACAUGAAUGAGACAUCAGUUUAGUGUGUCCUCCAAGCUCCAGGGACAUGCAUCAAACUUUCUGAGCGGCCUCAUUAAGUCCCUCUCCUUAGCCUGCCGGUGAAGGGGUCUGACACUCAGCACACAGACAGAGUUCUCCAAAGUCUUCUUCAAAUUCCUGGGCUUUUUCUCCAAAUUAUUGCAUAGGCCGUACGUCGGUGUUCAGCUGUGAUAGCACAACCAGUUAGGAAACCUCUUGGAAAGUUCUGCAGGGGGCUGUCCCCCUCACUUUGAAAUGCAUCAGCUAUUGCCUGGAGACCUCCACUGAAACUAUGACUAAGACACAUCCGGUUCAACAUUGUUCAUGUAAACACUCCCCCCCCCCUUUUCAAUGUUAUUACUUUUAUGUCAUCGGUCCAAUUUGUUUUCUUGGUUAGACUUUGGGUACUAGGAGACAAACUGGUACUACCCACACUACCUUUAUAGGUAGUUAGAAGAUAGGAUAGUGUUGAGAAGUAGGGCAUAUGUCAGUGAAAUAGAGCCUUGGUAUCAUUGUUGUUCUUUGUGGAAAAUAUAUUGUACUAGUCAUCUUGGGCUGACAUAAAAACAUACCACCUGGGCACUUGUGUGGCCCAGUCAGUUAAGCGUCUGACACUUGAUUUUGGCUCAGGUCACGAGCCCAGGGUCCUGGGAUCGAGCCCUGCAUCGGACUCCAUACUCAUAUUUGCAGAGCCUGCUUGGGACUCUCUCCCUCUCUCUCUGACCCUCCCCCAUGCUCGCUCUCUUUCUCUCUGUCUCUCUCAAUAAAUAAACAAACUUAAAAAAAAAAAAAAAAGCA
rnacentral:lncRNA from 1 species